GACGAACGCUGGCGGCGUGCUUAACACAUGCAAGUCGUACGGUAAGGCCCUUUCGGGGGUACACGAGUGGCGAACGGGUGCGUAACACGUGAGUAACCUGCCCACAACUUUGGGAUAACGCUAGGAAACUGGUGCUAAUACUGGAUAUGUGCUCCUGCUGCAUGGUGGGGGUUGGAAAGCUCCGGCGGUUGUGGAUGGACUCGCGGCCUAUCAGCUUGUUGGUGGGGUAGUGGCCUACCAAGGCGGCGACGGGUAGCCGGCCUGAGAGGGUGACCGGCCACACUGGGACUGAGAUACGGCCCAGACUCCUACGGGAGGCAGCAGUGGGGAAUAUUGCACAAUGGGCGCAAGCCUGAUGCAGCAACGCCGCGUGCGGGAUGACGGCCUUCGGGUUGUAAACCGCUUUCAGCAGGGACGAAGCUUUUUGUGACGGUACCUGCAGAAGAAGCACCGGCUAACUACGUG
rnacentral:rRNA from 1 species